rnacentral:tRNA from 1 species
GGUGUUAAAUUUGAUUAACUUUUCAGCAACUUCACGUAUUACACUGAUUUUUAUUUAUUUUUCUUCGGUCUUGAAAACCGGCGACCCGAAAGGGUUCCAGAGUUCGAAUCUCUGCGCUUCCGCCA